GAAACGCAUGGGUCCAAUACCCCGUGUGUGGAUGACGGUACCAUCAGAAGAAGCACCGGCUAACUACGUGCCAGCAGCCGCGGUAAUACGUAGGGUGCGAGCGUUAAUCGGAAUUACUGGGCGUAAAGCGUGCGCAGGCGGUGAUGUAAGACAGAUGUGAAACUCCCCGGGGCUCAACCUGGGAACUGCGUUUGUGACUGCAUCACUCGAGUACGGCAGAGGGAGGUGGAAUUCCGCGUGUAGCAGUGAAAUGCGUAGAUAUGCGGAGGAACACCGAUGGCGAAGGCAGCCUCCUGGGCCAGUACUGACGCUCAUGCACGAAAGCGUGGGGAGCAAACAGGAUUAGAUACCCUGGUAGUCCACGCCCUAAACGAUGUCAACUAGUUGUUCGGUGAGGAGACUCAUUGAGUAACGCAGCUAACGCGUGAAGUUGACCGCCUGGGGAGUACGGCCGCAAGGUUAAAACUCAAAGGAAUUGACGGGG
rnacentral:rRNA from 1 species